UUUGAUCGGCCCUAUAAAAUGGCCGGUUGGUUACGCAAUUUCCCUCCUAAUUGAUUGAUCGGUCUUCUGUUUUCGGGUAUUUCUUGGGAGGACACAUCUGGUCGGGCAGAUGUGGGCCCGUUUCGGGCAAUUGUUGUGUCCGUGGGGCCUUUGGGGUCCAAAACCCCGUUUGCUGCACUCGUCCAUGGGGGUGGGUGCCUCUGCAGCGACGUCUCGCUCCGGACCCUCUAGUUCGAACCCAGUGUAUAGUUUCAACAUUCUGGCGGUUAAUACUGUUGGAAGGGACUGUGAUGUAUUUAUAUUGCUGCAGAUACAGGUAUCUAAACCGAAUAAUGUUUCUUUAAUCGGCCCUAUAAAAUGACCAAUUAAUUACGCAAUUUCCCUACAGAUUAAUUGAUCAAUAUUCUGUUUUCUGGUGUUUAUUGUGAUGACACAUCUAGUCAAACAGAUGUGAACCCGUUUC
rnacentral:lncRNA from 1 species